UACGUAGGUGGCGAGCGUUGUCCGGAUUUACUGGGCGUAAAGAGCGCGCAGGCGGCUGGUCAAGUCCGAUGUGAAAGCUCCCGGCUUAACUGGGAAAUUGCAUCGGAAACUGAUCGGCUGGAAGGUGGGAGAGGGUAGCGGAAUUCCCGGUGUAGUGGUGAAAUGCGCAGAUAUCAGGAAGAACACCAAUGGCGAAGGCAGCUCUCUGGGACGGUACUGACGCUGAGACGCGAAAGCGUGGGGAGCGAACAGG
rnacentral:rRNA from 1 species